GGUUCGCUCCUGUUUCAGGUAAUCGUACAGUCUGGCCGCCACCCCACGGUGCUGCAGAAGCUCUGCCAACUGCCCUUCCAAUAUUUCAGUGACCCACGGCUGAUCAAAGUGCUCUUCCCUUCACUUAUCGCUGCUUGUUACAACAACCGUCAGAACAAGAUCAUUCUGGAGCAAGAGAUGAGCUGUGUUUUACUGGCCACAUUCAUUCAGGAUUUUGUACAGACUCCAGGCCAGGCAGAUAACCAGUCUUAUCAGCCCAAAGGAAAAUCCCUUGGUUCCCAAGACUAUCUCGAGCUGGCUAACAGAUUUCCUCAGGCAGCCUGGGAAGAAGCUCGACAGUUUUUUUUAAAAAAAGAGAAAAAAUAAAUGACUUGGUUAGUUCUGUAUUUGAGUACCCUUGUUAAUAUUUUAAAUUGUUCAAACAAAUGUUCUAACUGUUCCUUAAGAAGCUCAUUUUCACAUGUUUAUACUCUCCCCCUGCACUGUAGAUACGGUAUAUACUUUGCACUAUUUAUAAUGACUGUAGAUACUUUAAUGUUCUAAUUCUGCAAGUUGAGUUUAUUUCACUUAUGCACAAUAUUUUGGAGUUCAGUAACCUACAUCCUAUGAUAAUAUAUACUUUGCAUUUGUAAUAUGGGUGAAAUUAGACAUAAAAUUAGCAAGUCUGUUUUGUUCUUGUAAUAAAAUAACUUAUUCCGUUUGCAGUGAUGACUUUUCUUAUUAAGGUAGUUCAAAUUUGUAUACAAAUUUGUAGUACAAAUUUGAAAGAAAAAUGUUAACUCCAACUCUGGGAGUCUCUUAAAGACUUAAAGUUAACCCCUAAAUUUCCCUUUUUAAGGUGUGGAGUAAAGAUGUCUGUAACGCUUGGGUAUUCUAAUUGCGUAAUAUGUGGGGGGCUAUUUGAAAUGAACCGGGAGCACUGUAUUCAUUGGUCUGCCCAACUCUUCCUGGCAGACCUUACUGAGAACCUCCUGUAGCGUUGCUGAACUGAAAUUAUUCUCCAGAAUAAACAUUAGCGAUUCAAAAAGAUCAGCCAUAGUGAAUCACCUUGAAGUAUGUUCUCAAUAAUUGUGAAGCAACAAUGAAGUAAAAGUAAAACAGAAGGCCACAAGGGCUCUGAGUAGAAGUUGUAACCGACCCCGUGCACCGCUCCCAGCUGAACGUGAGAAGUCAGCCCGGGGGACGUCGACGUUUUCCGAUCUCCUGCUCAUCGUUUCUCCACCUUAAGCCGAUGGUCAGUGCUAAGCCGUUCACUGAGUGAUAUCUGUAACAAUUUCUGUCAGAUAAGGAUCAAACAUUACCAAGAAAAAAGAUGUGGUUGGAAAACAAGUGGCCUGAAUAUGUGUCAGAGACCAGACUAUAGGGAGGUCGGGGGGAGGAGGGGGCCGGGACUAGAAAAUACGAAAGUUUCAUGGGUUUUUUAAAAGCAAACUUAACCUACCUAAUGUUCAGGACACUUCUUUUUGGAGCCUCACAAAGCUGCUGAGUUACGUGUAUGCUGUUUUACUUUGCAAAUCGGGAGAAAAUAAAGAGGUCUCAAAAAUUCCAA